AACGGACGCUGGCGGCAGGCUUAACACAUGCAAGUCGAGCGCCCCGCAAGGGGAGCGGCAGACGGGUGAGUAACGCGUGGGAAUCUACCCAUCUCUACGGAAUAACGCAUGGAAACGUGUGCUAAUACCGUAUACGUCCUUCGGGAGAAAGAGUUAUCGGAGAUGGAUGAGCCCGCGUUGGAUUAGCUGGUUGGUGGGGUAAAGGCCUACCAAGGCGACGAUCCAUAGCUGGUCUGAGAGGAUGAUCAGCCACACUGGGACUGAGACACGGCCCAGACUCCUACGGGAGGCAGCAGUGGGGAAUAUUGGACAAUGGGCGCAAGCCUGAUCCAGCCAUGCCGCGUGAGUGAUGAAGGCCCUAGGGUUGUAAAGCUCUUUCACCGGUGAAGAUAAUGACGGUAACCGGAGAAGAAGCCCCGGCUAACUUCGUGCCAGCCGCCGCCGUAAGAC
rnacentral:rRNA from 1 species